UCUCUCUCCCCCAUUCGACCUCCAAGCGGACGAGCUCCUCUCUUCCUCGUUUUCCCUCUCCUUCAGUUUCUGCUCCAGCUGACCCUUCGUCAAAGAAUCGAGUCAAAAGUGGUCUUCCCGGAUGAAUCAGCCAACGAUCCACCUAUCACCGUGACCGGGAGAGACAGACCGUUCCAACGAGCCCAGUUUCGUCCCGAACGGAGCUUCCGGUCGUCCUGUACGGCCGUCUCAAGAAGCCGGUCGCCGGACCGCCUGGUUCCGCCCUGCUUCGCCUGUUUCGACUUUGCAGCCCGUUUUCUUCCAUUCCAGCCGUUCCUUUGCUCAUCCCAACCUCCAGCAAGACCCCAAGACCCCCAGGUGUCACCGGUUGCCAGCCACCCUCCUCGCCGGAGCUCCGGCCAAGCCGUUCAACUUGUUUUCUUCUCCGGCAGGGCUGUUUUUCAGAAGUUUCAGUGGGAGUCCGAGCUGUGGUUGCUGUGUUGAGCUUGGGACCGCCUUGGAGUGUCGUGGUAGAGGUCCCGGAGCGUCGCCUCCGUCGUCGCCGCCGCGUCGGUGUUUCCGGCCCGCUUAACGGGACCUGGAUGAGGAGCCUAAGGAGCAUGAAUCUGAUGAGGAGAUCCCUGUUGAGGAACCUGAAGAGGAGUACGUGGAGGAGGACCCCGAGUACGACCCGGAUGAGGACUGAGAUCCCGUCCUGUCUUGUCAGACCUUGUUUGCAUGUGAAUAGACGUUAGACCAGAGUUGCGUAUAUAUAGUAUUGUAGAAUACUAUGAGAUGCAUGUAAAAAGGUGUGGUUGUAAAUUUUCAGUAUGAAAAAUAUAUGGCCUGCUUUUCUAUCCCA